AUUGAACGCUGGCGGCAUGCUUUACACAUGCAAGUCGAACGGUAACAGGUUAAGCUGACGAGUGGCGAACGGGUGAGUAAUGCAUCGGAACGUGCCCGGUCGUGGGGGAUAACGCAGCGAAAGCUGCGCUAAUACCGCAUACGAUCUGAGGAUGAAAGCGGGGGACCGUAAGGCCUCGCGCGAUCGGAGCGGCCGAUGUCAGAUUAGGUAGUUGGUGGGGUAAAGGCUCACAAAGCCAACGAUCUGUAGCUGGUCUGCGAGGACGACCAGCCGAACUGAGACUUGGACAAGGCCCAGACACCUGCGGGAGGCAGCAGUGGGGAAUUUUGGACAAUGGGCGAAAGCCGGAUCCAGCAAUGCCGCGGGCAGGAAGAAGGCCUUCGGGUUGUAAACUGCUUUUGUACGGAGCGAAAAGGUCUCCUCUAAUACAGGGGGCUCAUGACGGUACCGUAAGAAUAAGCACCGGCUAACUACGUGCCAGCAGCCGCCGUAA
rnacentral:rRNA from 1 species